UUCAUACUGCGUCUAAUGGACUCGAUCCCAUCUGAACUCCGAAGUUAAGCGGAGCACGGCCCUCCUAAUACUGCGGUUGGGACUCCACGGGAAUCCCUUUGGGUGAUGACGGC
rnacentral:rRNA from 1 species